AUAUAUGGCCAUACUGCCUGAUCUUAUCUAACCUCAGAAGCUAAGCAGGAAUGGUCCAGUUAAUAUUGGAUGGGAGACCACCUGAAAAUGCCAUGUAUA
ensembl:rRNA 5S_rRNA 5S ribosomal RNA